UCUCCAGUGCGAGCAGCCGCCAUUUUCUCAGCGUUAUAGAAGCGGGAAGCGAGUGAAAGACUAUGACUUGUCCAGCUCCUGUCUUCAUUGUCCUCGCGCUGAGAGUUAGAGACACAGAAGCUGUUUGUGUGAGGAGUCACAGACCUGUGUGAGGAUGAGGAGGAGGUGUUCUUCUGAAGAGAGGGACAGACGGGUUAAGGAGAGUAAACUUCAGAAUAACAUCAAGUUAUCUUUAUUUUUACUAAGACUAAAAUAAUGUGUGUGUUUUUUUUUAGAUGUUGAAAUCCAGAGACAAGAUAACUUCAUUCUUUUGAGACUGAUAACUCAAACUAACUGGAGUUAAGGACACACAAGUGCUUGUGUGAGGAGGUGGUUUUCUCAGCUUCUUCUGAAGAGAGGGAAAGAUCGUUUAAG